GACGAACGCUGGCGGCGUGCUUAACACAUGCAAGUCGAACGGAAAGGCCUCUUUCGGGGGGUACUCGAGUGGCGAACGGGUGAGUAACACGUGAGUAACCUGCCCUUGACUUUGGGAUAACUUCAGGAAACUGGGGCUAAUACCGGAUAGGAGCUCCUGCUGCAUGGAGGGGGUUGGAAAGUUUCGGAGGUUGGGGAUGGACUCGCGGCUUAUCAGCUUGUUGGUGGGGUAGUGGCUUACCAAGGCUUUGACGGGUAGCCGGCCUGAGAGGGUGACCGGCCACAUUGGGACUGAGAUAAGGCCCAGACACCUACGGGAGGCAGCAGUGGGGAAUAUUGCACAAUGGGUGGAAGGCGGAUGCAGCAAUGCCGUGUGAGGGAUGACGGUCUUCGGGUUGUAAAACGCUUUCGAUCAUGACGAAGCUUUGUGUGACGGUAGUGGGUAAAGAAGCACCGGCUAACUACGUG
rnacentral:rRNA from 1 species